rfam:Schistosoma margrebowiei strain Zambia genome assembly, scaffold: SMRZ_contig0003117
AUCCAGCUGACGAGUCCGAACUAGGAUAAAACGCGCGUUGUGGAU